rnacentral:sRNA from 1 species
GAGCCCAGGGACGAUAAUGAUAACAGGCCCGGCGCGGAUGACGCUGGCGGUCCGAAUAAAGCUGGAGGUGGCGGCAGGAACUGAGCAUUCCAUGCCCAAAACUGGGAGUGUCCUAAGCGGAUUCGUCGUCUUUGGAGUCCAAUCCCUUGAUGGCACAUUCCCUGGGCAGCUCCCCGAUUAUUAUACAUUUAAAACGGAAUUCUCUGUACAUAUAACGAUUAAUAUUCAUAAAUAGAUGGAUAUUCAUCUCUCAAACUAA